rnacentral:rRNA from 2 species
AAACUUUCAACAACGGAUCUCUUGGUUCUGGCAUCGAUGAAGAACGCAGCGAAAUGCGAUAAGUAAUGUGAAUUGCAGAAUUCAGUGAAUCAU